rnacentral:tmRNA from 1 species
GGGGGUGUCAGGCCUUGACAGUUAACACAGUCCCCCAUAGGUGCAUAGUGAUGAGAGAUCAUCUAAAACAUCCACAAGUUGCAAACAAAAACAAAUUUGCACGGGCAUUUACUGAGUUUAUCAAUAGCUCAGCACCUGCGUUCGCUUAGGCGACGCAAAUGCCUCGCUCAUCCAAAUAAGGUAUGAGCCAUCCCACGGAUGAUUCUCGCUAAUCCGUACGGGUGUAAGAAAGCGAGAAAAAGUGACUUCGGCUCUAUCCCCUGCUAUAACCGGAGCAUCAAAAAAAGCAGAGACAUUGGUCGGCACAGAACCUAUCAUGUGCAGAUGCUAUGUAAAACACCUUUAGAGGACAGUUGACAUGGACGCGGGCUCAAUUCCCGCCACCUCCACUA